AGCCUAUUAGCUCAAUUGGUCGAGCACUGUGUCCUUAACAUUGAAUGGCACAGAGGAUGUAGGUUCAAAUCCUACAUAGGCUA
rnacentral:tRNA from 1 species